AGGCUGUAGCCUAAAUUAAACCUGCUGGGGAGUUUACUGGCAGGUUGUUGUGAUUACCGUCGACUAAUCUGCCUACCGAGCUUCUCUCAUUU